ACCGUUUUGACAAAAAACACCCUGCCGCAUUUGCCCGUGUCCGCCGCCGCCGACCGCAACCAGCGCCUCCACGCGCGGGCGGCUCACGCCCGUGCCUCCCUGCCGCCCCGCGCCGCCGCCCACCGGAGCUCCGCUACCGGACCAACGCGCCGCCAUGCCCUCCUCUCCUUCUUCCUUCCCCUCCCUUUUGUUCUAUUUCUCACAUCCCCUCUCUCUCUCCUUCGCAGGAAGCGGAAGCCAUGGCCCUGGACCUCCAUGCCAGACCGCCGCCCCGCGCCGGCCGGCCAUCGGAGCGCCGCCGCCGGACCAACGCGCCGCCCUGCCCUCUCCUUCUUCCCUCCCUUCCUCUGGUUCUAUUUCUCACAUCCCUCUCUCUCCCCCUUCACAGGAAGCGGAAGCCAUGGUCGUUGGAUCUCCAUGCCGGACCGCCACCCCACGCCGGCCGGCCACCGGAGCGCCGCCUCCGGACCAACGGGGGUUGCCGCGCUGGACCGCAAGAGGAUGCACUGGUUGUGCUCGACGGAGAUGGGCCCUGUGUGCGUGCCCCCGCAGCCUGGACGAAACUCCGGCGAGGCCAUGAGCUCCCGAGUCCCAACCCGGGCGUAGGAGCGUACGGGAGCGUCGUCGUGGAUCCUGCGCGUCCUAGGUCCGCCGAGGCCACGGGCUCCCAAGCCGGGCAUAGGUGCGUACUGGAGCAACGCCCGCCUGGGCGAGGUCCUCCUGCUUCUGGAGGAGGCGAACAAGCCGAGCCAAGCCAUGAGGCGCCCGUGGCCAACACAGUCUAUUAAACCUUCGAUAUGCUGGAGGGUGAUGAGGUGACAUGGAGCUAAACAUAGAUUGAAGAUUCUGUCAUGAGUUCCUCAGAGAAGAUAGAACAAAUGAGUAUGGAGAUCCAGCUGUUGAAGACGCCGAGGGACAAGAACAUUCAGGAGUUGUUCGCCUAAUGGGUUGGUGAGAACAAGAAUACAGUUAACAUCAUCACAGAGCCCUGCACAUCUCGCAUGCGAGGCAGUUCUGUAGGAAGCACAAGAAAGUGGGUAUGAAAGCUAUGAGACGAUGGCCAAUACAGAUAUUGAUAGGGCUGGAAUAUCAUUAGAGUCCGGCGCCAACGAAUACACAUAGCGACUUAAAGUGUGACAAUAUAUUCAUAAAUAUUCUGAUGGAACAGUGAAGAUCGGCGACUAUAUGGUCUGGCGACAUUAUUGCAUCAAUGGAAAAAGCAAAGUGUCAAAGACGCAUUAGACUUUACGGCACCAGAACGCUUCACUGGCAAUACAAUGAGUUGCUUGGGUAUUCCAAUCCCUUGCUGAACCCUGUGCUAUUCGCAGCCUCUUCUAUCAAUCCAGCAGCACACCGCUGCCCUUCGCAUCCUCCCUGCAUCACUGCAACUGGGCCGUGCUCACAUCGUCUGCGGUCACAUGCGCAAUCUCUGCGCUCGACGCUGCUCCACCGAGAUUCAUUGCAAGGUCUGUUCAUAGCCACGGUUCCUGCUCCGUACCAUUGUUGAUGCUCUGGAUUGUUGUUCUUUUAGGUAAGCUUUACUCAGGUUGCUACUCAUGUCACAGUGUCUGUAAUUUAGGGGCUGUUUGGAUUGAAGCCCGCAGACGCCUAGCCAAAAUAUUGGCGUUGACUGAAGGCUGGGCAUCUAUUUGGUUGAUGGCCAACUAUUUGGCACGCCCACACUGCAUGGGCUGCUGCAGUUCAUUUUCUUGCCAAUUCAUGGGCGAGCUCAGGGCGGCCGGAUGGUGCGCCAAUAUUUUGGCAUGCCAACGAAUUGGUAGGGCCAGCUGGGGCUCAAUCCAAACAGCCCCUUAGCCAGAGUCAGGUUCAGAGUUAUUGACUGAAUUUUUCGGGCACAACCAUCAAGCAACCUGAGUAAAGCUUACCUAAGCCAGUGAUUUUGUUCUUUUAGCUAGAGCCCGGUUCAGAGUUGUUCACUCUGGAUUUUUUGGGCACAACCAUCAAGCAAGCUAGCACGUAUUGUUUAACUGAAGCAAAGGGCAGCUAAGCUAUGAAUGCUUCAUUCUUUGUUCUACACAAAUGCAGCUACUAUUUGUAUUUGAUCUGAGCAAAGGUGCAACCAAUUGAAGUUAUUUUGAAGAACCUGCACCUGAGUAUAUAUGUUCUGAUUUUAUAGCCUGCAGAGUCUGUAGAGUAAAGUUUGUACAUUUUGUGAAUCGCUUUGUUCCGGUUUCCCUUGGUGUAUAGUCUAUACUGUAUCAGAUUAUUUACUAUGUGCAGAUUUGUUUGUGCCAUUGCCGAUCAUGUACUUCUUUCUGUGCUUGGAAGCAUAGUCUCAUCGUAUCCCCUAGAUCUGUAUAAGUAUAUUUAGCUCACAUACACUUGGCAUUUGUUCUUCAAAAGGCGAUGUCCUCGAUGCUGGACUCCUGGUAACAGUUUAUUACAUGUUAUUUCUUUUUUUGGUGAGUCUUUUCUUGAGAUUUAGGAUUAUGGAGUUAACGGGUGUUACUUUUGACCUGCUAAUACAGCUGUGUUAAACUUUUUGCUCUUCGAAAGCAACUAUGAAGAUGAGGUCUAUUCCAGCGCCUUCAAUUUCAGUCUCUCUGGUCUCAAGUGUGACUGAAGAUGGGUGGCAAUCUGCAAGUUUCGUGCUUUGGAAGGGUGAAUUCUUACUGAAAAAUCAUAUGUAUCUUACCGACCAUAUUAAUUUAUUGCUAAGGUUUCCUCAUACCAGUGGCUGUUUAAAGAAUGCUGAGUUGUCAAGCGAGGAAAUGCAGUGGCUGGCGUUGCCGGGCAUGGGGCGACGUCUCUAGGCUCCUGCCUGAGGCAAGCCUCUCCGGCCUCCUCGGAUGCCCUCUAGGAACUGGCACUGCGUAUGAUGGUCUCCUCACCUAGCACCUAGGUUGACCUAGCCACCGCCAUCGAAGCGGAGAGUUGACAACAUAUGUAUCAUUGUUGGACGUGUCAGUCCUGCCAUUGACAUGUUCAAAACUAUGAAUUGAGUGAUUACAAAUAUGCUUUGAUCAAUGAAAUGAAAGGAUGUUCUGUUA